UUAUUGGGGCGUAAGCGCGCGCAGGUGGUUUCUUAAGUCUGAUGUGAAAGCCCACGGCUCAACCGUGGAGGGUCAUUGGAAACUGGGAGACUUGAGUGCAGAAGAGGAAAGUGGAAUUCCAUGUGUAGCGGUGAAAUGCGUAGAGAUAUGGAGGAACACCAGUGGCGAAGGCGACUUUCUGGUCUGUAACUGACACUGAGGCGCGAAAGCGUGGGGAGCAAACAGGAUUAGAUACCCUGGUAGUCCACGCCGUAAACGAUGAGUGCUAAGUGUUAGAGGGUUUCCGCCCUUUAGUGCUGAAGUUAACGCAUUAAGCACUCCGCCUGGGGAGUACGGCCGCAAGGCUGAAACUCAAAGGAAUUGACGGGGGCCCGCACAAGCGGUGGAGCAUGUGGUUUAAUUCGAAACAACGCGAAGAACCUUACCAGGUCUUGACAUCCUCUGAAA
rnacentral:rRNA from 1 species